rnacentral:rRNA from 1 species
GACGAACGCUGGCGGCGUGCUUAACACAUGCAAGUCGAACGGAAGGGCCCUGCUUUUGUGGGGUGCUCGAGUGGCGAACGGGUGAGUAACACGUGAGUAACCUGCCCUUGACUUUGGGAUAACUUCAGGAAACUGGGGCUAAUACCGGAUAGGAGCUCCUGCUGCAUGGUGGGGGUUGGAAAGUUUCGGCGGUUGGGGAUGGACUCGCGGCUUAUCAGCUUGUUGGUGGGGUAGUGGCUUACCAAGGCUUUGACGGGUAGCCGGCCUGAGAGGGUGACCGGCCACAUUGGGACUGAGAUACGGCCCAGACUCCUACGGGAGGCAGCAGUGGGGAAUAUUGCACAAUGGGCGGAAGCCUGAUGCAGCAACGCCGCGUGCGGGAUGACGGCCUUCGGGUUGUAACCCGCUUUCGCCUGUGACGAAGCGUGAGUGACGGUAAUGGGUAAAGAAGCACCGGCUAACUACGUG